GGGCUCAUGGUCUAGUGGCUAUGACGUUUCCCUGACACGGAGAAGGUCGCCGGUUCGAAUCCGGCUGAGCCCAC
rnacentral:tRNA from 1 species